AUGCAGCCAGAAGAGGUUGAGGUCGUUGGAUGCCAUGCAUGCCUAGAGACACCCAAGCCAGAUCUAAGCAGGGUGGCCCUAAUCCGUAUGUGUGGACGCCAUCCAUCGCAGGCAGAGUCCCAGAUCGUCAAGAGCCUAUACUGCGCGGUGGGGCCAGGCUCCGCACCGCCUUCAGUUUUUGUUCGCACCUGGAUAGUCGGUCGAUCCCGGCAAACGCGUGGCGUAACCGAGCCGGCCUCGUUCCAAUCUAUAAAUACACCGCACCCGAUCGACAAUCCUUCAACCAAUCCACCAGACCCCCUGAUUCCGAUCGAAAACAUCGCCGCAAUCCUCCGUCAAGACAAGGAGGGCAUCCCGCCGGACCAGCAGCGUCUGAUCUUCGCAGGCAAGCAGCUCGAGGACGGCCGUACUCUUGCUGAUUACAACAUUCAGAAGGAGUCCACCCUGCACCUGGUGCUCCGCCUCCGUGGUGGCCAUACUAAUACUAGAGGUGGUGGGGAUCUCACGGCGGCGAGCUCGCGGCCAUGGACGACGCCGUGGAGGAGCUCAAUCCUCCUCGUCGGAGCUGCCAAGGUAGAUGUACUUCUCCCUCUGCUCCUCGCGGAUGCGCCGUCACUCGUCGUCCUUCUCCUUGGCGGCGAGGUUGGUUGCGACCGUCUGCUUGAACACAAGGUCUACGAGCUCCUCAUGGUGGCGCCGGUGCUUCGCCUCCUCGCGCAAGCUCCGCUCGGCAAUGGCGGCCGCGACCGCGUCAACAUCGGCGACGAAGUCCUCCGGCCCGAUGACUCCGCGGCUACCGAGCUCCUGGGGCUCCUGCUUGACGGGGACCUCCUCCGGCUCCUCCGACCACUCCCUUUUCACGGGGAGAAGCCCCGCGCCGAAAGAGGAGGAGCUCCACAUGCGACCCCACAUGGCGGCUGGAGGCGAAAGGGGCUCGCCGGCGGCGAGAAAUGUGCGGAGGGGAGUGGGAAAUUGCGGAGCUCGGCGGUGGCAGGGGGAUAG
rnacentral:rRNA from 1 species